rnacentral:misc_RNA from 1 species
AACGCACAUUGCGCCCGCCGGUAUCCCGGCGGGCAUGCCUGUCCGAGCGUCAUUGCAACCCUCAGGCCCUCGCGCCUGGUGUUGGGGCCCUGCGCGGCAGGCCCCGAAAGACAGCGGCGGGUGCGUCCCGGAACCGAACGCAGUAGUUACCUCUCGUUCCGGACCAGGGCGCGCUCCGGCCGUAAAACGCUCCAACUUUUCUCAAGUUGACCUCGGAUCAGGUAGGAAUACCCGCUGAACUUAA